rnacentral:misc_RNA from 1 species
GAUGAAGAACGUAGCGAAAUGCGAUACUUGGUGUGAAUUGCAGAAUCCCGUGAACCAUCGAGUCUUUGAACGCAAGAUGCGCCCGAAGCCAUUAGGCCGAGGGCACGCCUGCCUGGGCGUCACACGUCGUUGCCCCCCCAUCUACUCCUUCGGGAUUGCGGGGGGCGGAUGAUGGCCUCCCGUGCGCCUCGUCGCGCGGUUGGCAUAAAUGCCAAGUCCUCGGCGACGCACGCCACGACAAUCGGUGGUUGCGAAACCUCGGUUGCCCGUCGUGUGCGGUCGUCGCGCAUCGAGGGCUCGAAAAAAUUGCCGGGCUCCGGCUCGGCUUUCAACGCGACCCCAGGUCAGGCGGGGUUACCCGCUGAAUUUAAGCAUAUCAAUAAGCGGAGGA